rnacentral:rRNA from 1 species
CGAAAGCCUGACGGAGCAAGACCGCGUGAGGGAGGAAGGCUCUUGGGUUGUAAACCUCUUUUCUCAGGGAAGAAGCUCUGACGGUACCUGAGGAAUCAGCCUCGGCUAACUCCGUGCCAGCAGCCGCGGUAAUACGGAGGAUGCAAGCGUUAUCCGGAUUUAUUGGGCGUAAAGCGUCCGCAGGCGGCUAGAUAAGUCCGCUUUUAAAGAAUGGGGCUCAACCCCGUAUAGGGAGUGGAAACUGUUUAGCUAGAGUAUGGUAGGGGCAGAGGGAAUUCCCAGUGUAGCGGUGAAAUGCGUAGAUAUUGGGAAGAACACCAGUGGCGAAGGCGCUCUGCUGGACCAAAACUGACGCUGAUGGACGAAAGCUAGGGGAGCG